GUGCAUCUACUUUUUAACUUUUUGUGUUGAAUUGAAAAUAAAUUCAAAACAAGGGUUCCGGGUAUUCUCGUUUCUGGAAAAAUUCCCCAAUCAAUCUCUCGAACCCCGAAACCAAACCCUAACCCUAGACAACACCAACCAUGUCGAAGCAAGGUGGAAAGUUGAAGCCCUUGAAGCAACCCAAGAAGGAUAAGACUGAGUUGGAUGAGGAUGACAAGGCUGCCCUUCAAAAGAAGAAGGACGAGGAGAAGGCACUCAAAGAACUUAGAGCCAAGGCAAGCCAGAAGGGAGCAUUCGGAGGCGCAGGACUGAAGAAGAGUGGAAAGAAGUGAGGAUUUCUGAAACAAAGUGCGAUGGACCAUGCAAUUACAUAGUGUGAUAAUUGUUAUUGUGAUAUGACUACUCUCGUAAUUUAAUGGUUGAUGUUUAUAAUGCUUCUUCAACUCUUGAAGUUGCUAAUGACUUUCUUCAUGUAAAACUAAUAAUUUUAAGGUGAAUACAUUAGCUUUGUCUUCACUAUGA